GGAGACUGCUCGUUGAGGAGAGAACGACUAACACCCAGUCCUGUGGGUGGAGACUGCUCGUUGAGGAGAGAACGACUAACACCCAGUCCUGUGGGUGGAGACUGCUCGUUGAGGAGAGAACGACUAACACCCAGUCCUGUGGGUGGAGACUGCUCGUUGAGGAGAAAGGUCCAAGGAGGCAGAGACAGAAUUUGGCGUUGGGGAGUCCAUUGCUCCGAUCCUGCCUGGUGUCACCGGUACAGGCUGAUGGCAGUGAUGUAAUGGUGUGGGGGAAUGUUUUAUACCCCGAAGAAGUCAGGCUGUUCUGGAGGCAAAGGCGGGUGCGACUUGGUACCAAAUGGGUGUACCUAAUUAACAGUCAGACUGUAGGUGUGUUUUAUAAGAGACAACAGUCAGACUGUAGGUGUGUUGUUGUGGUUUAUAAGAGACAACAGUCAGACUGUAGGUGUGUUUUAUAAGAGACAACAGUCAGACUGUAGGUGUGUUUUAUAAGAGACAACAGUCAGACUGUAGGUGUGUUUUAUAAGAGACAACAGUCAGACUGUAGGUGUGUUGUGGUUUAUAAGAGACAACAGUCAGACUGUAGGUGUGUUUUAUAAGAGACAACAGUCAGACUGUAGGUGUGUUGUUGUGGUUUAUAAGAGACAACAGUCAGACUGUAGGUGUGUUGUUGUGGUUUAUAAGAGACAACAGUCAGACUGUAGGUGUGUUGUUAAACAGGAUAAUUUAUAAGAGACAACAGUCAGA